AGCCCUCGCUCCUGGGCGUCGACGUCCGCCCGCCGGGCGCCGCGCCCUGCGCAGGCCCCCGCAGGUGCUGCGGCCCCACGCCCCGGCCCGAGAACCAAGAGCGCCCGCCCUCCCGCCGGGGGUUCCUGGAGCCAGCCUGCGCCUGCGCUGCCCGAGGGGGGCGGAGCCUGGCCGGGUUGGGGGCCGGGCGGGGCCUUAAGGGGCCAUGUCCCACUUACUUCUCCUUCCUUCAGAGCCCCUACUGCUCCCCCUUCUUCCUCCCACCAGAAGCCCCGCUUGCGCCUUCCUGUGGAGCCAGAAGGAGAAGAGGUGAACCAGAAGUAUAACAUGCAUCCAGAGAAGUGCAAAGACUUGGGCAUUUUACAAAGUGAAUACACCCAGCACCGAGAUCAAGAAACACCAUAAUCAGGAUCCGGAAGUCCCCCCAAAUAUCAGAGGCAAAGACUUCUGAAGGCCAGUGCUCCAACUUGAGAAAGCUGUGGAGGCUGUGGUUCAGGUCCGGGGAAUGAGCAUGGACGAAGUAGAAUAGUAUGCUGACUAGACCAGUGCUUCUUAAACUGCAGUGUGCCACUGAAUGACCCAGGCAUCUGGUUGAAAGGCAGGUUCUGAUUCAGCAAGCUGGGAAGGGGAUGCUGCGAUGCUACAUUCCUGUCAAGCUCCUACACUUGGUUAGCAAGGCCUUGAACCCAGAGAUUCUCAAUAAUGCUGUACAUAAGAAUCACACGGGAGGCUUUUCAAAACACUGCUGCCCAGGUCCCACCCCAGAACAAUUCAGUUGCAAUCUCUGGGGUGGGGCUCACAUCCAUAGGUUUUAAAAGCUCCCCUGGUGAUUCCAGUGUGCAACCAGAAACAGUGGGUGCUGGUUCCCUGGAGCACCCCCAGUGCCUGAGCUGAGGUGGGAGGGAAGUGAGGUGUGGGGUCAGGUCCGGUGUCUGAGCAAACGAUCCAGUAUGACAAAGGGCAAGAGAUUUCUUAGUCAGCAAUGGACCAUUUGCCCCUUAGUGGAGGUGAAGGGAGGGAUUUCUGAAGGAAUUCUUUGGCGUGGGGCUACCUGCUAACCCAGGUCACAUCCUCCCAGGACCAAGAACAGACCUGUGCCUUCACCUUAUCAAGCAAGUCAGAGCUCCCCAGAGCUGCUCCAGGGGCUGGGCUCACAUGCCCCCAGGCGGUUCAAACAUUUUCAAAACCUUACUAGGGCAGUGGGAGGAGGUGCUGCCAGCUGCUCCCACACCCUGCCCUGCUAGAGAAAGAGCCAGAUGAGUCCAGAGAUUACAAGCCCUGGAUCAACAUGGGCUAUUCAGGAUGAAGUGCCAUAGUCCUGGGUUCUGACGCCCUCUGGUGGACACCUAGAGUUGAAGUUGGUAACCAACAGACUACUGUGUCCAGGUCACUUCUCCCAGCUUUACUCCCAUCCACAGUCUGUUUGCCUGUGUUUACUUUUUAAGUCAUCAGGCUGUGCACGUGGCUACUAAUUCUGACAGGGGAAAGCUUGGACAUAGGAUGUACACCACCAAGAGUGAAUCGUAAUGUCAACUAUGGAUGAUAAUGAUGUGUCAAGUGAGGUUCAUUGAUUGUGACAAAGAUGGAAUCCAGCAACAAUUUGGAGAACCCAGUAACUCAUUUACUCAAGAAAUAAAAACUCACAUGUCCAAAAACUGGAAGAUCUGCAUUAACAAUGGGAAAUUUAGUCUGGUCCAUGUAUAUCAAGACACCGAUUGCAUUUAAACUUUCAGCAUUUGCAGCCUAAAGAAAAACAGGGUAAUUUUAGGGGAAAUGAGUAGCUUCCAGAAGAUCUGCUGUAAGCACAAUGAAAGAUAGUAUUGCUACUGGUGAACUCAAGAUUUACAGCUUCAACUUUUACUCUUUUGAAGCAUUCUGAAUACCCCGGAAGCAAAACUCCUCUUCGUUCCGCUUUCUUUCCCAUGACUCUUUGUAAGUAUCUACAUAUUAGUUAUAUGAUCUUUUUUUUGAUAGACCUUAUCCUCACUUUAUCCAUAAUGCCUAAAUACAGUAUCCACAGAAGUAUUCACCAGAUGAAGUAAAAAAUGCCAAGAUUUCUAAUUUAAGACAAAAAGAAUUACUGUACCAUUGAAAUUAUAGGGGGCUAACAAAAGGUAAAAGUUGAUUUGUUCUUUAUAUGGAGUUAGAUAUGUGUCCAAAGAAGACCUUAAAAAUCUAAGGACAGGAAACUUAAGGACACUUCUUAGGGUAUAGAUUGAGUGAGAACCAGAAGAAAUCAAGAAAUACUAGAGACAUUAUCAAGCUGGGCAGUCAAGUUGGUUCUGAACUAGAGGAUGAAAAAGGCUACCGAUGCCCUUAUGGAUAGUAGCAGGGCUCAGCAUGACUUACAAGGGGUUGAGAUGGAAAAUCGGAGCAGAAGAAAGUCUGACAGCAAGCAACAGGCUACAAAGAACCAGACGACAAAAAGAUCAAGAGCCUGUGAAUUUUCUUAAAAAAAAGGAGUCCCCACAGAAAUUCUAACAUUUUUUCCUAACAACAUAGUUUGAGUUCUUUACUGACUCUUUACGCUCUAACUGAACAUGGGAAGUCUCGCCUUAUAAAGCGUUUCCUCCAGACUAUAUCACCUUUGUUUUUUUCCACUGCACCUAAUAAUCAAUAUUUGUGUAGGCACUGAGGUUGAACUUGUAAAGCAGCUCAAGCUUACUUGAUGGCACUGGUGAAGUCUAUGGCAUCCAGUCUCUUGGACAACAUUGAUUUGAGGUCUGCCCAAAAUAUGCGACGUGUUUCGGGGAGCUGCUCUUCUGUUUCGAAAGUUUCUGUCUCCUCUGUGCACGAAGGCUCUCUUCCUGCCGGUCUCUCACAAUCGGCUUUUGGUUCUACACGUUUACAAUAGCCCAAGUAGCCAAUCAUAAAUCCUAAGGAUAAAAAGUUUCAGAGCUGAACUCAUAGAAUUUCAUUUAUAAUCUAUUCCUAUAAGAAUUGUUAAUAUUUUCAGCUAACCCUUGAAAAUACUGGUUUUAAUCAAAUUGUAAGCCAUUUGAAAGUAAGUAAUGCAUCUCCAUUUUGUCUAUUUUAAACCAAUCUAUUAUAUAAUAAUUUUACUUUAAACAGUUACCUUUUCAAAGCAAAGGUACCUUUUCUUCCCCCGAAGCCUUCCUUGAAUCCUCAGGUCCAGGGUCUAUGCUACAAAUAUCCUGUGCAUAUUUCUAGUAUAACAUUUGCACAUUACACUGAAAUGAUUCAUGUGUCUCUCUUCUCCCACCAGGUUAACCUCAAAGGCAGGUACAGAGUCUUAGCCAUCAUUGUAUUCCUAGUGCCUUGCACAAUGGCACAUAAAAAGGUACGAAAUAAAUGUUUGCUGAGCUGGAUGGACAGAAUUCCUAGAGUUGGUGACAAGGAACAUUUAAGUUUUGAAUGGCCAUUCUUACCAAUCAAGAAAAAGACGAUUACAGCAAUAGUCCCAUAGCAGAUAUAUCCAUUUAACCUUUUUGGUUUUGUGACAUUGGUGUGGUUACCCCUCAUGUUAUUGUCAACAUUUUCUUCUUCAUCUACAGCUAGUUUCAUCUCCACAUGACUGUUAUCGCCAUCGACUUGCCGAGCCAGACUAAACCGGGUAUAUGACAAUGGUUCUCCACCAAACUGAGAUUUAAAAAAGAAAAAAGGACAGAGAGAAGAAAGGGAAUAGGGACAGUCAAAGAAAGUUUGGUGAGGUGUUAUACAUAUUAUUGGGCCAUUACUAUGACUUGCUAUACAUUCUCAAGGAAAAAGAAGUUCCCCCUUCAAAUCAGCAUUCUCCUCUGUGCCCAGUUCUGUCAACAGCAGAUGAGGGCUGGAUCACACACUGGCCUUCAUCUCAUUCAGACUUUUCAUUCAGGGUUUCUGUUAUGCAUGUCUACUGGUAUACAAUUUGACCAGUGCUUUCUUUACUUCAUCUUACCUACUUGAUUGUCUCUCUGCCCUGAAACUUCUUACAAGAUUUUCCAUAAUUAGCUCUACUCAAGACUGAAUAUACCCUUCCUUUGUGAGAUCAGUUACGCCUCAAGACCACCACUUCGAAUAUAAAUGAAUACCUGAUGACGGCUUUGGGUAUUAUCUCCUGCUUACUGGGUGAAAGCCAUCCUUGUAUACUUCGUAUUCUUGCAAACUGGUGACAGAGAAAUCUUUCUUACUGAAAAUCUUACCAAGUUAGAGAAUGCUGAUCUUGCUUGAUCCAUCAUUGCGAGCUGCCACACAGAAGAGCCUAGUAGUAAAAUAGAGAAUUAAUAUAAUGAGAUACAUACCAUUGUAUCAGACUGGUGAGGACUUUUCAUUACCACACUAGAUUAUUGUAUAUCAAAUAUCCUUUUUAAUAUAUUAUCACCUUUCUAGAAACGGUCUUUAACCAAAAUAUUUAGUUUACAUGACAACUAAAUUUAGUGUGAUCCUUGAUUAGAUCUAAAUUGGGGCAGGGGGUGGGCAGCUUGAAGGACAUUAUUGGAAGAAACAAGAAAUUUGAAUAUAGACUGUAUCCUAGAUAACAGGAUUGUAUCAAUAUUAGAUUUAGGAGUGUGAUAAUGGUAUUGCGUUUUUUGGAGGAGAACGCCCUUGUUCUUAGGAGAUUAAUGCCAAAGAAUUUAAGGAUGAAGUAUUGUGAUGUCUGUCACUUAAUUCCAAAGAGUUCAGUUUAAAAAGUAUGUAAGAAAUAAAGGAAAUGUGGUUAACGAUCAGUGAA